rnacentral:rRNA from 1 species
GACGAACGCUGGCGGCGUGCUUAACACAUGCAAGUCGAACGGAAAGGCCCUGCUUUUGUGGGGUGCUCGAGUGGCGAACGGGUGAGUAACACGUGAGUAACCUGCCCUUGACUUUGGGAUAACUUCAGGAAACUGGGGCUAAUACCGGAUAGGAGCUCCUGCUGCAUGGUGGGGGUUGGAAAGUUUCGGCGGUUGGGGAUGGACUCGCGGCUUAUCAGCUUGUUGGUGGGGUAGUGGCUUACCAAGGCUUUGACGGGUAGCCGGCCUGAGAGGGUGACCGGCCACAUUGGGACUGAGAUACGGCCCAGACCCCUACGGGAGGCAGCAGUGGGGAAUAUUGCACAAUGGGCGGAAGCCUGAUGCAGCAACGCCGCGUGCGGGAUGACGGCCUUCGGGUUGCAAACCGCUUUCGCCUGUGACGAAGCGUGAGUGACGGUAAUGGGUAAAGAAGCACCGGCUAACUACGUG